GAGUAAUGUCUGGGAAACUGCCCGAUGGAGGGGGAUAACUACUGGAAACGGUAGCUAAUACCGCAUAAUGUCGCAAGACCAAAGAGGGGGACCUUCGGGCCUCUUGCCAUCGGAUGUGCCCAGAUGGGAUUAGCUUGUAGGUGGGGUAACGGCUCACCUAGGCGACGAUCCCUAGCUGGUCUGAGAGGAUGACCAGCCACACUGG
rnacentral:rRNA from 1 species